rnacentral:rRNA from 1 species
GAAUGUUGGCAUGAGUAGCGAGAUGUGGGUGAGAAUCCCACAGGCCGUAAACCCAAGGUUUCCAGGGGAAGGUUCGUCCGCCCUGGGUUAGUCGGGACCUAAGCUGAGGCCGAAAGGCGUAGGUGAUGGACAACAGGUUGAUAUUCCUGUACUACCGAUAACCGGUUGAGAGAGGGGAUGACACAGUAGGAUAAGCUAAGCACACUGUUGGUUAUGUGUGCCCAAGCAUUGAGGCAGUCAAAGUAGGCAAAUCCGCUUUGAUAAUGCUGGGAUGUGAUGGGGAGCGAAAUUUAGUAGCGAAGUAGCUGAUUUCACACUGUCAAGAAAAGUCUCUAUCGAGGUUAAAGGUACCCGUACCGCAAACCGACACAGGUGGGUGAGGAGAGUAUCCUAAGGCCAGCGAGAGAACUGUUGUUAAGGAACUCGGCAAAAUGACCCCGUAACUUAGGGAUAAGGGGUGCCACCAUCA